rnacentral:rRNA from 1 species
AUGGAUCCCGCCGCCGCCGGCGCGGGCUCGUGGGACACGGAGCUCGCGUGGCACCUCCUCACCGUGCUCCUCCGCAUCGGCCGCCCCGCCGCCGCCGCCGAGCUCGCCGCCGUGGCGUCGACGUCGGCGGCGGGCGCCAUGACGCCGCAGCACGUCGAGCGGCUGUGCCACGCCCCGGGAUCGCCGCUCCGCUCCUCCGGCGGCACGGUGACUGUUUCGGGGACGGCCGUCGUGGCGUUUCUGAGGUUCCUGGGGUGGGAUGUGCCGGCGGUCCCGAGGGCGAGGCUGAGGCCCUCCGACUUGAGGAGCUGGUGCGCGGAGAUGCCGAUUAAGUAUGAGCGCAAGCGGAAGGCUCCCGACGCGGACCGCUUCGGCGUGAAGAGGCGCCUCCUGAUGGAGGCCGAUGCAGAUUUUGUAGAACUCGAGCAGCAGCUGCCGAUUGUGCCAAGUUGUUCCUCAGUUGCUGCUGGAGAGGUACACCUGGAGGUUAUGCAAGAUAGGCUUCCUCUAGUUUCCAACAUUGCUAAAAUUGGUACACCUUGUCUUCAACCUAAACUUAAUCAGUCUCUUGGAGUCAGCAAUGACAAUCUUCUUGGGAACAUGACAUCUACACUGACAUGGAAGGAGUUGUCCGUUCGUCCAUUUAGUGAUAUUCCUUCCCUCUGCGCUGAGAAAUCAGAGAACAUCCAUGCAGCAGUUAAUGAAAUUAGUAGGAUUGGUGAACUGGAAGGAGCACUUUCAUAUUACAAUUGCCGAGUAGAGGAUAGUGAGGAUCUGGAAAAGAAGUCUAGCCCCCUUCCUAUGAUAGUGGAGGUGCCUUUAGUUGGAGAUACAAAAAUUUGGCUUGAUGAGGAUCUAAAUCUUUUUCACACAAGACCAUGCAGUCCAUCUCUCAAUUGUGAUACACAGUUAGUAGACAGUAUAGUAAGAACCAGUGUGAUGCCUGACCAAGCAGCUGUACAAAAUGACAGCCCAAAUGCUGGACAGGGUGAGGAGAUCCCAUCUUGUGGUCAGGAUGCUAAUACUGGUGUUUUCCAGUCUGCUACAUGCACCAAAGCAGAACCUCUACUACAGGAACCGAUUCAUGAAAUGAACAAAAGCUCAUGUCAACCAUCUCUGGGCACAAAAGUUGACCCGGCGGCAUUGCCGCUAGAAGCGACGAGCCAUGAUUGUAUCAACAAUGGAAAGUUGAACGUUGUUGCUGAAAAUAUCGAUAGCACAUACCUAAAGGACAGAGAGCAGCUACAUAAGAAAGUGGGUACCAUUUUUCCGAAGAAGGAGCAAGACAGAAAGAUGGUGAAGCAACGGGAGAAGCGCAAGAAAAAUGAUGCCCUGCGCAAGGAAGAUAAGGAUCAACUUGCAGAAAAUGCUCAAAAGGGCCAUGCAGAGCCAAAACCACUGCCUAGCUUCAAGGAUUUUGUCGUGGAAGAGGAGGAAGGGUCAGGAGGUUAUGGGAUCGUUUAUAGGGCUCGGAGAAGCGCAGAUGGAAAAGUAUUUGCCAUAAAAUGUCCUCGUGAGAAAGCUCAUUCACAUCACGUUGACAAUGAACGAAAGAUGUUGGAACGAUUUGGAGGCAAGAGUUUUGUGAUUAGAUAUGAAGGUUCUUUUAGGAGUGGUGAACUAGACUGCUUUGUUCUAGAACACGUUAAGCAUGACAGACCAGAGAUUCUCAAAAGAGAAAUAAAUGUCUUUGAGUUGCAGUGGUAUGGGUAUUGUCUGUUCAAAGCUCUUUCAAGCUUGCAUAAACAGGGAAUAGUGCAUAGAGAUGUGAAACCUGGAAACUUCCUCUUCUCUCGUGACCAGACAAAGGGAUAUCUUGUUGACUUCAACUUAGCAAGUGAUCUUCACCAUAAGUUCUUGAAAAACAGUAAAUCUGAGACAAUGUCAUGUGGGAAGGAUACCGCAUCUCAAUCUUCGUUGAAAUCUGCUCUAGUGAUUCAUGCCAAAGAAGCAGCAGCCGACUCAAAACAACCUCUUGGGCCCAAGAGGAAAAGAUCAAAUAAAAUCCCUGUAGGCAGUGAUCCUAGGAUUGACAAUAAAAGUAGGCAUGGUAGCCAAGCUGCUGAUGGAUCUGGUGUAACCUCCGCCAAGGAUCCUACAAGCGCGAAAACACCAUUAGACAGGUUAAAGCAGCCAAUGCCUUACAGAGGGCGGAAGGAAUUAAUGAGCUUCUUGCAGGAGGCAAUGGACAGUCCCAAACAAAAUAUACCGGCAGCUCCAGUUUCCCAAAGGAAGAGGGUUGCUGCUCCUGUGGGUAGUGUCGAUCGGAAGUUAUUUGUACUUACUCCAAUGCCCCUGCGUUGUGAUGGUAAUGCUGUUGCCGGUUCUGGGACGAUUAACAGCAAAGGAAAUGGAAAGCAGCGAAGAGAAGGUCCAUGUGUUGGAACUAAAGGAUUCCGAGCUCCAGAGGUUCUUUUGAGAUCUUCUCAUCAGAGUUGCAAAGUUGAUGUCUGGUCGGCUGGGGUGACACUCCUGUACUUCAUAAUCGGCAAGGCACCUUUCGGCGGAGAUCCUGAACAGAACAUGAAAGAAAUAGCGAAGAUCAGAGGCAACGAAGAAUUAUGGGAAGUAGCAAAACUGCACAACUGCGAGUCCUCGUACCCACAGGAGCUAUUUGAUGUCAAAUUGCAGCAGUCGGUGGAUCUCAGGGAGUGGUGCGUCGCCAACGCCCGCAGGCCGGAGCUCCUCGAGCAGGUCCCUGACUCGCUGUUUGAUCUCGUGGACAAGUGCCUGGCGGUUAACCCCAGGUGCAGGAUCACGUCGGAGGAUGCUCUGUCGCAUGAGUUUUUGGCGCCGUGCCGUGAAAGCCUCAAGAAGAAUGCGCUUAGGAGUAGGUCAGCAUCAGCUUCUCACACUCCUCCAUGCUUGCCUCGAGAUGCCAUGGUUAACGCCAACGAGUUGUAG